rnacentral:rRNA from 1 species
GGGUUGUGAGGUUAAGCGACUAAGCGUACACGGUGGAUGCCCUGGCAGUCAGAGGCGAUGAAGGACGUGCUAAUCUGCGAUAAGCGUCGGUAAGGUGAUAUGAACCGUUAUAACCGGCGAUUUCCGAAUGGGGAAACCCAGUGUGUUUCGACACACUAUCAUUAACUGAAUCCAUAGGUUAAUGAGGCGAACCGGGGGAACUGAAACAUCUAAGUACCCCGAGGAAAAGAAAUCAACCGAGAUUCCCCCAGUAGCGGCGAGCGAACGGGGAGCAGCCCAGAGCCUGAAUCAGUGUGUGUGUUAGUGGAAGCGUCUGGAAAGGCGCGCGAUACAGGGUGACAGCCCCGUACACAAAAAUGCACAUAUUGUGAGCUCGAUGAGUAGGGCGGGACACGUGGUAUCCUGUCUGAAUAUGGGGGGACCAUCCUCCAAGGCUAAAUACUCCUGACUGACCGAUAGUGAACCAGUACCGUGAGGGAAAGGCGAAAAGAACCCCGGCGAGGGGAGUGAAAAAGAACCUGAAACCGUGUACGUACAAGCAGUGGGAGCACGCUUAGGCGUGUGACUGCGUACCUUUUGUAUAAUGGGUCAGCGACUUAUAUUCUGUAGCAAGGUUAACCGAAUAGGGGAGCCGAAGGGAAACCGAGUCUUAACUGGGCGUUAAGUUGCAGGGUAUAGACCCGAAACCCGGUGAUCUAGCCAUGGGCAGGUUGAAGGUUGGGUAACACUAACUGGAGGACCGAACCGACUAAUGUUGAAAAAUUAGCGGAUGACUUGUGGCUGGGGGUGAAAGGCCAAUCAAACCGGGAGAUAGCUGGUUCUCCCCGAAAGCUAUUUAGGUAGCGCCUCGUGAAUUCAUCUCCGGGGGUAGAGCACUGUUUCGGCAAGGGGGUCAUCCCGACUUACCAACCCGAUGCAAACUGCGAAUACCGGAGAAUGUUAUCACGGGAGACACACGGCGGGUGCUAACGUCCGUCGUGAAGAGGGAAACAACCCAGACCGCCAGCUAAGGUCCCAAAGUCAUGGUUAAGUGGGAAACGAUGUGGGAAGGCCCAGACAGCCAGGAUGUUGGCUUAGAAGCAGCCAUCAUUUAAAGAAAGCGUAAUAGCUCACUGGUCGAGUCGGCCUGCGCGGAAGAUGUAACGGGGCUAAACCAUGCACCGAAGCUGCGGCAGCGACGCUGAUGCGUUGUUGGGUAGGGGAGCGUUCUGUAAGCCUGUGAAGGUGUGCUGUGAGGCAUGCUGGAGGUAUCAGAAGUGCGAAUGCUGACAUAAGUAACGAUAAAGCGGGUGAAAAGCCCGCUCGCCGGAAGACCAAGGGUUCCUGUCCAACGUUAAUCGGGGCAGGGUGAGUCGACCCCUAAGGCGAGGCCGAAAGGCGUAGUCGAUGGGAAACAGGUUAAUAUUCCUGUACUUGGUGUUACUGCGAAGGGGGGACGGAGAAGGCUAUGUUGGCCGGGCGACGGUUGUCCCGGUUUAAGCGUGUAGGCUGGUUUUCCAGGCAAAUCCGGAAAAUCAAGGCUGAGGCGUGAUGACGAGGCACUACGGUGCUGAAGCAACAAAUGCCCUGCUUCCAGGAAAAGCCUCUAAGCAUCAGGUAACAUCAAAUCGUACCCCAAACCGACACAGGUGGUCAGGUAGAGAAUACCAAGGCGCUUGAGAGAACUCGGGUGAAGGAACUAGGCAAAAUGGUGCCGUAACUUCGGGAGAAGGCACGCUGAUAUGUAGGUGAAGUCCCUCGCGGAUGGAGCUGAAAUCAGUCGAAGAUACCAGCUGGCUGCAACUGUUUAUUAAAAACACAGCACUGUGCAAACACGAAAGUGGACGUAUACGGUGUGACGCCUGCCCGGUGCCGGAAGGUUAAUUGAUGGGGUCAGCGCAAGCGAAGCUCUUGAUCGAAGCCCCGGUAAACGGCGGCCGUAACUAUAACGGUCCUAAGGUAGCGAAAUUCCUUGUCGGGUAAGUUCCGACCUGCACGAAUGGCGUAAUGAUGGCCAGGCUGUCUCCACCCGAGACUCAGUGAAAUUGAACUCGCUGUGAAGAUGCAGUGUACCCGCGGCAAGACGGAAAGACCCCGUGAACCUUUACUAUAGCUUGACACUGAACAUUGAGCCUUGAUGUGUAGGAUAGGUGGGAGGCUUGGAAGUGUGGACGCCAGUCUGCAUGGAGCCGACCUUGAAAUACCACCCUUUAAUGUUUGAUGUUCUAACGUUGACCCGUAAUCCGGGUUGCGGACAGUGUCUGGUGGGUAGUUUGACUGGGGCGGUCUCCUCCUAAAGAGUAACGGAGGAGCACGAAGGUUGGCUAAUCCUGGUCGGACAUCAGGAGGUUAGUGCAAUGGCAUAAGCCAGCUUGACUGCGAGCGUGACGGCGCGAGCAGGUGCGAAAGCAGGUCAUAGUGAUCCGGUGGUUCUGAAUGGAAGGGCCAUCGCUCAACGGAUAAAAGGUACUCCGGGGAUAACAGGCUGAUACCGCCCAAGAGUUCAUAUCGACGGCGGUGUUUGGCACCUCGAUGUCGGCUCAUCACAUCCUGGGGCUGAAGUAGGUCCCAAGGGUAUGGCUGUUCGCCAUUUAAAGUGGUACGCGAGCUGGGUUUAGAACGUCGUGAGACAGUUCGGUCCCUAUCUGCCGUGGGCGCUGGAGAACUGAGGGGGGCUGCUCCUAGUACGAGAGGACCGGAGUGGACGCAUCACUGGUGUUCGGGUUGUCAUGCCAAUGGCACUGCCCGGUAGCUAAAUGCGGAAGAGAUAAGUGCUGAAAGCAUCUAAGCACGAAACUUGCCCCGAGAUGAGUUCUCCCUGACCCUUUAAGGGUCCUGAAGGAACGUUGAAGACGACGACGUUGAUAGGCCGGGUGUGUAAGCGCAGCGAUGCGUUGAGCUAACCGGUACUAAUGAACCGUGAGGCUUAACCUUACAUC